GUGCUCUGAAGGCUGCACAAAACAGCUAUCGCAUUCAGUAGAGACAGGUUAUCUCUCAAAACCAAGUUCAUACUUGGUUUUCAGAGAGAACCUGCAGCAUACCCUAAGAGCGCCUGCCAGGCAAGGAGGGUUGGAGGAGCUUUCACAGUGUUGGAGGGACACCUCAGACUUCUAGAAUUCAGUUGUUCUAUGAUGUCAGAUGACUAGGGAGUGAGCUGGCCUUUGCCGGAACAUGGUACUUUGGACUAAAAACCCAAGUCUACAUCCUAAGCAAGAACAUUCCAAAUGCCAGAAAAACAGUGCAACCACAAUGAGAGGCACAGCUCCAUCCCAAACAAGUAUACAUGCUUACUCACUCCCUGACCCAUUAAGUCUCAGCCCUGCUAGUGCCCAGGCUCUCCCCCUUUUAACCACCAGGAUGAUGAUGCUCCUCAUGCUGCUGCCUGCUGGCUUAGAUUCUUCACUAUUUUACUGGAUUAAAGGAUAUCACACCGUGGAGAGCCACCCAUCAACCCUGGGCUGAGCUUGCUCCCCCUGCCUGGAGCGAUGGGGGUCCUGGACUGGCACACACAUGGAAACUGUUCAGGGCAAGCGGCCUUUACCCUGCCUCAGCAAUGAAUCCCGCUUCAAGCCUUACCUGGACAUUACCUUAUGGGAAUGGACAACCUCUGAAACCCAAUCCCUUGCCUUAUUUGAGUAGAACCUUCUUGAAUGUCUUUUCCCCAGUAAAUAAAAGGUUUUGGGUGGG